rnacentral:rRNA from 1 species
CCUACGGGUGGCAGCAGUGGGGAAUAUUGGUCAAUGGGCGCAAGCCUGACCCAGCAACGCCGCGUGAAGGAAGAAGGCUUUCCGUUUGUAAACUUCUUUUCUCAGGGACGAAGAACGUGACGGUCCCUGCGGCAUACGCCACGGCUAAAUACGUGCCAGCAUCCGCUGUAAUACAUAGGUGGCAAGCGUUCUCCGGAUUUACUGGGUGUAAAGGGCGUUUAGGCCGGGAAGGAAGUCAGAUGUGAAAACCACGGGCUCAACCUGUGGCCUGCAUUUGAAACUGUUUGUCUUGAGUACUUGAGAGGUAGACGGAAUGCCUAGUGUAGCGGUGAAAUGCGUAGAUAUUAGGAGGAACACCAGUGGCGAAGGCGGUCUGCUGGACAGCAACUGACGCUGAGGCGCGAAAGCGUGGGGAGCAAACAGGAUUAGAUACCCCGGUAGUC